rnacentral:lncRNA from 1 species
UUGAGUAUUCAUAGAAAAUUAAUUUUGUUUACAUACUGGUUCCCAGUUAUGCUCUCUGUGUUCCAUCUCACAGAGACAUAACUUGGGAAUGUUACCAGUAAAUAAACAUGUGCAUAUUGUUUACAUUGAAAUCUGUGGUAACCUUUCAUUCGAGGUAGGGGUAGUUAAGAAAAUUAGUGUUAGUUUAAACUCUGAGAAGUUCAGGGCAUAUAAACGUUGAAAAUAUGCCGCAGAGCCC